GAUGAAGAACGCAGCGAAUUGCGAUAUGUAAUGUGAAUUGCAGAAUUCAGUGAAUCAUCGAAUCUUUGAACGCACAUUGCGCCCCUUGGUAUUCCGGGGGGCAUGCCUGUUCGAGCGUCAUUAUAACCCCUCAAGCUCAGCUUGGUGUUGGGGCCUGCCGACUGGCAGCCCUUAAAAUCAGUGGCGGCGCCAUCUGGCUCUAAGCGUAGUAAUUUCUCUCGCUAUAGAGUCCCGGUGGAUGCUUGCCAGCAACCCCCAACUUUCUAUGGUUGACCUCGGAUCAGGUAGGGAUACCCGCUGAACUUAAGCAUAUCAAUAAGCGGAGGA
rnacentral:misc_RNA from 1 species